GCCGGAAAGUUGAAGCGCUCAUUCCGUGAGGAAAGGGUGCGUCACCCAGAGCGAAGGUUUUCCCCGCGAAGUUCAUGUUUUGCUGCCAACAAGGAGCUUUGAUUCGAAGGUUUGGAUUACUUAUUACCAAGUUCGUUCAUUAAUUGGACCAGCAGAUGGAAAUCCGAAGAAUUUGUAGCGGCUCUCUCUCUACUGAGCGGUGGCACCGGCGGCAUCCAAGCGUGCGGAAUCGGCUUUCGUGUCUACAUCUUUGUCGCGGGUAAUAUAGGGCACAACAUUCUUGUAUCUGCAGAACAAUGCAAAACCUGUGGAGAUUUGGAAUACUACAGUGAUAAUAUGCUGCUGAAAGGGGAUGAAAGAGUGUUUUCCAGGAUUCUGUGCACGGGAAGAGGAUCCGCUCGGCGACAUUGCAACAACUGAAAGAUCAACUGGAUGAGUCUACUAAAGAACUGGAGGCUGAAAAGAAAAAGGGAAAGCAAAUCGAAGCUGCUCUGGAGCGUUCGCCGGUCCAAAUCACCGAAGAGCGCAUAAAUCAACUCAAUCUUCAUCAACUCCAACAAGCCAAACAAAUGUUGGAGAAUCUUAGGGAGAAUGUGCGCCGUAUGGUUAAUUCCAUCCUCGUGAAUUCUGCCGGGGCUUCAAGCUCAAGGAAUGUUGCUGGUCCUUCGGAUCCCGGGAAGGCUGCUAAGGUGACUGCUGAGAUGGUUGGUUGUAGCCGAUCUUCGGCCCAACCUGUUAUUAAACUGGGGUUGCCGAGAGGUGGUGCUGAUGGUGGCGGUGGCUGGAAUGGAGGUGGCCGUGAUGCUCCGGCAGCCCUGCUGGUUGAGGCGAAGGAUGCUCCGGCGGCAAUGGAAACUAAUGCUGGUAAGGAUGAUGCUGAUGAGUCACCAAUUCCUCGGGAUUGGUUGAGUUUGUAAUGUGUUUGUUUGUUCUUGUUCUUGUUUGUGUUCAUGUUUUUAUGUUUAUGUUUAUUUUUAUUUUCUGAGAAUAAUGAGUGAGUCGUCGUUGUCUUCCUCCUCCUCACUCAAAUUUGUUUCCUGAAAAUAAUUGAAUAAUGUUUUUUUUUUUGCUUUUAUUACUUUUAUUGAUAACGAUGUCAAUUUAAGGAAGGUUUGAAUGUGUUACAGGCGCUUGGAAAGAGGUAUUUGGCAUUAAGAAGUUAUCUAUUUUAAGUAACCAAUAUUAUUACCCAAUGUCAUCAUUUAUUA